rnacentral:rRNA from 1 species
GAUGAACGCUGGCGGCGUGCCCAAUACAUGCAAGUCGAGCGAACAGACGAGGAGCUUGCUCCUCUGACGUUAGCGGCGGACGUGUGAGUAACACGUGGAUAACCUACCUAUAAGACUGGGAUAACUUCGGGAAACCGGAGCUAAUACCGGAUAAUAUAUUGAACCGCAUGGUUCAAUAGUGAAAGACGGUUUUGCUGUCACUUAUAGAUGGAUCCGCGCCUCAUUAGCUAGUUGGUAAGGUAACGGCUUACCAAGGCAACGAUGCGUAGCCGACCUGAGAGGGUGAUCGGCCACCCUGGAACUGAGACACGGUCCAGACUCCUGCGGGAGGGAGCAGUAGGGAAUCUUACGCAAUGGGCGAAAGCUUGACGGAGCAACGCCGCGUGAGUGAUGAAGGUCUUCGGAUCGUAAAACUCUGUUAUUAGGGAAGAACAAAUGUGUAAGUAACUAUGCACGUCUUGACGGUACCUAAUCAGAAAGCCACGGCUAACUACGUG